rnacentral:rRNA from 1 species
UCAGGACGAACGCUGGCGGCGUGCCUAAUACAUGCAAGUCGAACGGUCUUUCUAUGGAAGCUUGCUUCCACUGAGAAGAUAGUGGCGAACGGGUGAGUAACACGUGGGUAACCUGCCCAUAAGAGGGGGAUAACAUCCGGAAACGGGUGCUAAUACCGCAUAGUUUUCUUGAUCGCAUGAUCGGGAAAGGAAAGACGGCCUUUGUGCUGUCGCUUAUGGAUGGACCCGCGGCGUAUUAGUUAGUUGGUGAGGUAACGGCUCACCAAGACGAUGAUACGUAGCCGACCUGAGAGGGUGAUCGGCCACAUUGGGACUGAGACACGGCCCAAACUCCUACGGGAGGCAGCAGUAGGGAAUCUUCCGCAAUGGACGAAAGUCUGACGGAGCAACGCCGCGUGAGUGAAGAAAGGUUUUCGGAUCGUAAAACUCUGUUGUCAGAGAAGAACAAGUUGGAGAGUAACUGCUCCAGCCUUGACGGUAUCUGACCAGAAAGCCACGGCUAACUACGUGCCAGCCGCCGC